AGUGAACGCUGGCGGUAGGCCUAGCACAUGCAAGUCGAACGGCAGCACAGUAAGAGCUUGCUCUUACGGGUGGCGAGUAGCGGACGGGUGAGGAAUACAUCGGAAUCUACUUUUUCGUGGGGGAUAACGUAGGGAAACUUACGCUAAUACCGCAUACGACCUACGGGUGAAAGCAGGGGAUCUUCGGACCUUGCGCGAUUGAAUGAGCCGAUGUCGGAUUAGCUAGUUGGCGGGGUAAAGGCCCACCAAGGCGACGAUCCGUAGCUGGUCUGAGAGGAUGAUCAGCCACACUGGAACUGAGACACGGUCCAGACUCCUACGGGAGGCAGCAGUGGGGAAUAUUGGACAAUGGGCGCAAGCCUGAUCCAGCCAUACCGCGUGGGUGAAGAAGGCCUUCGGGUUGUAAAGCCCUUUUGUUGGGAAAGAAAAGCAGCAGGUUAAUACCCCGCUGUUCUGACGGUACCCAAAGAAUAAGCACCGGCUAACUUCGUG
rnacentral:rRNA from 1 species